CAGAGCUUAUCUCGUCACAUGGAUACACGGUAGCUGACCACAUCCACUUCCAACCUUAUCUCUUCGAGGCAGCUAGUGCUGUAGUCCUUGUUCGUCAAAACUGAGACAAAUGGAGGAAGGCAGGAAGGGUAGGUGAGGUGCUGGUGCUGGCCGCAUGGCUCAUACUGGCCGUUGGGCGACGUAGUGUGGCGGGGCUGGAGGGAGCAGCUGCUGGGUGGUGCUCGGCCUCGACGGCCUGGCCUCCGCCGUUCUUGCCGUCGGCCUCGUCCUCGGUGCCGAUUCUUCCCCAUCCAUGGCGCCAAGCCAAGCGUGUGUUCCUGCUCCUCUUUAUUCCUGUGGCGUCGAUUUCCGCCAGCGCUUUGGUCAAAGCCGAGACAAAUGAAGAUGGAGGUGUAGGGGAGGUGCUGGCCAGAUGGCUCGUAAGCAGCUGAAUCUGACCGCGUCAGUCGGCGGUCGAGUAGACAGCAGCAACUGCGCUGCUCCUACUCGUUGGAGUGGCGCCCGUGGCAACACCACCGCCGCGGCCGCGCACCUGCCGGCCUCGGGAACCUCCAUGGCUGACCUCACACAGCGCCGCCCCGUUCUGGCCUCAAACGCGCAGUCCCGCGCCAUUCCUCUCCACCUUGCACCGCCGUGGCCUUCACUUGCCUCCUGCCUGUACUCCCAGCCACGGGCGACCUCCUCCUCCGUGCUUGAGAACCCCAUCGCCUCGGCUGACCUCUCGUGGGUGCUGCCAUGUUCGAGUAGUACAAGCUCCACUCCGCUCUGCUCGAACGACGCUACCGCCACAACCUCUGCUCCGGCGAGCCCUACGUCCCCUCCUGCAGCUUUCGAAUCACCAUGGCCCCGGCCUCGGCGCUGCUCUUCCUCCAUCCAUGGCAAGCGAAGCCAAGCAUGUACCUGCUCCUCGUCUUCACUUCCCUGGCGCCUCCAGGCACAUCCCACGAUCUGGCAGACGCCGAAGCUGCGAGGUGGGAGAAGGGGAGGGGGACGGCUGGCGCCGCGAAGGAGGUCCUGGGCGGGGGAGGCGCGGACGGCGGCGAAGGGAAGGGCCGCCGAGAGUGGUCGCGCGUCGACCACCUCGCAGUCGCCGGGGAUUUGGAGGCCGGCCGGCGGAGAUCACCAUCUCUGUUUUCUAUUUCUAUCAGGCGGCGGACGCGAUGGGUUGGGGGUGUUGCGUCCUUCGGGUCCUAUGAACGAGCGAUUCGUUUUUUUACUGUACGAAUAUCUUACAUCGGGAGUGCGGGUUAAUUGCACGAAAUAGCAC
rnacentral:rRNA from 1 species